rnacentral:rRNA from 1 species
GCGAUGCCGCGUGAGUGAAGAAGGCCUUUGGGUUGUAAAGCUCUUUCGUCGGGGAAGGAAAUGACUGUACCCGAAUAAGAAGGUCCGGCUAACUUCGUGCCAGCAGCCGCGGUAAUACGAAGGGACCUAGCGURGUUCGGAAUUACUGGGCUUAAAGAGCACGUAGGUGGUUAAGAAAGUUGGUGGUGAAAUCCCAAGGCUUAACCUUGGAACUGCCACCAAAACUUUUUAACUAGAGUGUGAUAGAGGWAAGCGGAAUUUCUAGUGUAGAGGURAAAUUCGUAGAUAUUAGAAAGAACAUCAAUUGCGAAGGCAGCUUUCUGGAUCAUUACUGACACUGAGGUGCGAAAGCAUGGGUAGCGAAGAGGAUUAGAUACCCUUGUAGUCCAUGCCGUAAACGAUGUGUGCUAGACGUUGGRAAUUUAAUUCUCAGUGUCGCAGCAAAAGCGUUAAGCACACCGCCUGGGGAGUACGACCGCAAGGUUAAAACUCAAAUGAAUUGACGGGGACCCGCACAAGCAGUGGAGCAUGUGGUUUAAUUCGAAGAUACGCGCAGAACCUUACCAACUCUUGACAUGUUCGUCGCGACUUUAAGAGAUUAGAGUCUUCGGUUCGGCCGGACGAAACACAGGUGCUGCAUGGCUGUCGUCAGCUCGUGUCGUGAGAUGUUGGGUUAAGUCCCGCAACGAGCGCAACCCUCACUUUUAGUUGCCAUCAUUUAG